GGACUACCAGGGUUUCUAAUCCUGUUUGCUCCCCACGCUUUCGCGUCUCAGCGUCAAUACCGUCCCAGUGAGCUGCCUUCGCCAUUGGUGUUCCUCCUGAUAUCUGCGCAUUUCACCGCUACACCAGGAAUUCCACUCACCUCUUCCGGAUUCGAGCCCGACAGUAUCCACCGGCAUUCCAGGGUUGAGCCCUGGACUUUCACAGCGGACUUAUCGGGCCGCCUACACGCUCUUUACGCCCAAUGAUUCCGGACAACGCUUGCCCCCUACGUAUUACCGCGGCUGCUGGCAC
rnacentral:rRNA from 1 species